AAAAGGAAUUUCUCCACCCGACCCGACUAGAUAGUCGACGGGUUCGAAUGAGUAUUUUUUCAAUCCGACUUUUAUCGGGUCGAGUAGGACCCCGACCCGACCCCGACCAAACCCGCCCGAUGGACAGCCCUACCUCUUUGUAUAGCAAUAUUUGGAUAUUUUGGUUAUAAAAAUAGUUAAUUACACAAAAUAUAGAUAUUUUAGGGAAUUUGUUUUAUUUUUCUUCCCAUGAACUGCUCACACAAUAAUUUAAUAUUUUAUAUUUAACGAAUUGUUAUCUUAACUAUUAAAGUGAUAAUUUUUAAUAAUUUUAAAAAAUAAGUUAAUUAAAAUUUUAAUUUAAGGGGAUUAAGUGAUGCUAAAUAAUAGUUUAAGAGGGGGAAAUAAAAUUAAGCCUAAUAAUAGCAUCUCCAACCCAAUCCUUAAAGUAAUUUUUUAUAAUUAAAAAUUGGGUUUUAAGAAUUACACUAUUCACACCUCCUCCAGCUACGCAUCUCAAUUUUUAUCUCUAAAUUUUUUUCUCCAAAAUUAACUUUCACAAUGCUCUGUUUCGAUGUUAUUUUGAAAAAUAUUUUGAAAAAUACUCAUUUUUCUCGGAUCUUAUUCAUUUUUGAGGAAGAAUUAUUUCAAGAAUUUGGAACCACGAUAAUGUUAACUAGAAAAUAGUUUUUUUUUUAAAUUAUAAAUUUAAAAAACCGUCAACCAAAUAAAUUUUUUAAAAAAUAAAUAAAAUCAAAACCAAAUAGAUUUUUCGCUCUUUUCUUACAAAGUUAAGGAUUUUUUCGAUGCUUACUCGCAUGCUCUACUUUACGAAAUUACCCUCGGGUAAACUUUAGCCACAUGGUAAUUCAUCAUACUAAGGGUCUGUUUGGCUGCAGGAUAAGAGGGGCAUAUAACUUUUCUCCCCGAAUAACUUUUUUAUCCGGCGUUUGAAUGGUGAUAACCCGCUCGGAUAAGUUUUUUCCUCGGAUAAUUUUUUUUCCCAGCAGGAGGACAGAGGCAGAUAAUUUAAGGAUGACCAUCACCCUAGUUAAAAGUUAUCUAGGAGGAUAAGAGAGAAAGAUAAAGAAGAAAAUAUAUAUAAAAAAACCAAAUAUAAAAUAUCUAAUAUAAAGAUUAUAUAUAUAUAUAUAUAUAUAUAUAUGUAUGAAUAUAUAUGUAUAUGUAUAUUUUUAAUAUCUAAAUAUUUUAUAUUUUAUUUAUAUAUAUAUUUUUUAUUCCUUAUCCACCCAUUUUAAAAAUAUCUAAACAAAGUUAAAAGUUAUUUCCUACUAAAUUUUAUCUCCUGAUGCUAUCCGGCUGCCAAACGACCUAUAACGGGAUAAAAAUCAUACCUACAAUCCCACGAGAAUCAAACAAGUCCAACUCAGAAUUCUGAAAUUUAGUAACAGAGAUAGAAAAGUCACACUUUGGAUGGAAAAGUCAUUGCCAUUAGUUAUAAUUGAAAUUUGAAAAAGGUUGCUUGGCUUCACAUGGCUUUCCAAUCUCCAGCACCAACCCUUUUAGGGUGUCCAUGAUGAAUGGUGUAGCCGAAAGUGCAACCAAUCAAGAUUGGGAGGAUAAUUUUCAUUUUAUAACAUCUAAUUUUUAUCCGAAUUUUACUGCUUUUUUUAAAUUCAUUUUUAUUCCCAAAAAAUAUUUAAAAACUUUUUUUUCUUUGUAUAGGUCAUGUGCAUGACUAUUUUUCUGUACAUAUUCUAACAGAUAUAGACAAAAGGUUCACAUUACAACAGUCUUUAAAAUUCAGGGUUACGUAUAUUAAAAUUAAAACAUUAGGAACAAAAAUAGAAUCUGGUUAAAAAUUGGAGGGUAUAACAUAAAAAUUACCUAAAAUCUGAGCUGCUAUGGGUUUGAUUUUUUAGUUUUUUCUGUCUUUAGUUAUUUUUCUAAUUGUUUUAUCAGAAUUUUAUACUUUUUUGAUUCUUUUUGACGAGAGGAGUCGCAAAAUAUAAUUCAGAAAAAAACACUGAAAAUAGAAAAUAUUACUUUUUACUCGAUAAAUUAGUUAAUUUUUUUUGUCUUUAGUAUAUUUUUUUCCAAAUUUGAACAAAAAGGUUACAUUUCAAUUUUUUCUUGUCAAAAAAAAUAAAAAAAAUAUAACUUUUGGAUCAAACAGUGAAAAAUAUUUAUUAAAGACGAAAAAUCUCAAAAAAACGAAGCAGAUAAAAAGAUCUAAACAAAAAACUAAGCCAAGCGCCUAAAGACACAUAAAAAAAGCAGUUUUAAAAAAAAUAGUCAAAACAAAUGAUCCAUACCAGUAAAAAGAAAAUCGAAAGAGUAGAUAAAAAGUUAAAAACUUUGCAAAUCUUAAUCUUCACCUUAAGGCUGUGUUUGCAUCAAAGAUUUAGUGAGAGAAUAUAAAAUAAAAAAAAUUAAGGUUGUAUUUGCCCUUCAGCCUUUACCACCGCCCAACCUAAAAAGAAAUCACCAAAUCUUUAUCAAACACAACCUAGAUUUUAGUUUUGGUUCUUAACACUUUUGACGGUCAAUUAACCUUCAA
rnacentral:lncRNA from 1 species